GCUAAAUCAGAAGUCACUAUGUGCUGACUAUUUUGUUCUGUUACCAGAAACGAACUGUCGCAACAUUAACAGCUUUAAGAUUUAAGAAAAUGGACACAAUUCAAUGGAUAUCAAUCAACACAGAGGUAUACAGACGAGGAGGCAUACAAAGAUAUGUCAAUUGGUAUUGGUAUGUUAUGCAGAUCACAUUUACCAUCCUCCUCCCUUACGUCUUCAAUGAAUAUCCCAUAUAAAGGUCUCUAUAUUAUGAACAUGGUAUGUGUAUGAAAACCAUUAUCAAAACAGUUUUUUUUCAUUCCCAUUUACCACAAAAAGGUAUGAAUACUGUCAUGUGCAUGUUUUGUUAAUCAUCUGUAUCAGGUAUUCCCAAACUAGGGGUAUGCACAAUGCCGUCGGUGGUACGCC
rnacentral:lncRNA from 1 species